rnacentral:lncRNA from 1 species
UUUAACAUAAUGAGAUAUGUAAAAUAUAUAUUUUUAUUAUAAAAUUACAUAUUUAUUAGCUUUAUUUUAUGAAUAAAAGAGUUUUUAAUUAAAAAGAUGAAUUGGUCAAAAUUUUUGUCAACUUGCCGCCGCUUAGGUCAAGAGUGCUCUCUUGGGUCUCCUGAAGAAACAGUAUUUUCUGGGGUCGGGAAGAAGAGAAGUGGUGGCUUUCGGGGCUAUGGACGACGGGAAGGAGUUGAGGAAUGACUUGGGGGCUAAGGAUGACGGGAAUGAGAUAGCCCUUCUUGAAGAAGAGUUGAUCCAUUUAUCGGUGAAAAGCUCUAUUGUAGAUCCUUUUGAAAAGCCAACACUGAUUUGUUCUGUUUGGACGAGAAAAAAUUACAAUCUGGACAGCCUGAGAGCACAAGUGAGAAGUAUCUGGAAAACCAAAAAGAAGUUUGAGAUUAUGAUUGCAGGCCAAAAUCUAUUCAAGAUAGUAUUCGAAGAUGAGGAAGACUUAGAGCAGAUUAUGAAUGGGCGACCAUGGUUCUUUCGAAAGCAAUUAAUUAUUUUUGAUCGUUUAACAAAAUUAGUAGAGCGAAACAAGAUCUGAUUGGUUUCUUCACUGUUUUGGCUAAAGAUCGGCCCAUGCCCAUCUGAGUGUGAUAAAAAGGAUCUGAUGCAUGCUGUGGGGUCCACGUUUGGGGGAAUUAUUCAUUCUAAGAUCAAAGGUGAUUUUUGUCGUAUUAGAGUUCAUCUAGAUGUUUAAAAACCACUUAGAAAAGGGAUUUUUGUCUCUCUAAACGACCAAGAUAAAGCCUGGCUUCUUUUCAAAUAUGAGUGUCUCCUAACGUUUUGCUUUGGGUAUAGUCACAUGGGUUACGGGAUUAAAGAUUGUCUAAUGUUAUCAGAGGGGGAUCGCAGCAAGGCGGAGGAUGAACUUCCUUUCUCGGUAGCACUUAAGGCAGAAUUGUCAGAUUAGGCAGGGAGAGCUUACUGUUUGGUUCUUUGCAGAAGAAAAUAAUGAAAAAAUGUUACUACAUCGGUUAGGAGGUAGCGGGUAAAGUUGAUAGUGUUUCAAUAGAUUCUGUACAACAGAUGCAUCGGAUGGUGAAAGAAGUUGGUUUAGAGAAGUCCUUUGAUCUUAGGGAAAUAGGGAUUUUGCGGCAAAAAUUUAGGGAUAAUGAAACAAAUUUUUAUCCUCAUAAUAUGCCGAGAGAAGUGGAAGAAAACUCCAGUAGGGAUCACUGUCGUGAGGGAAAUAGGUCAAAUUAAAUUUCUGAAUCAAACAGGCAAAUCGAACUGAUUGAGGCCUAACAAUUGAGUCAAAAGAAAUAUAGCUGGAGGCGCUUUUCUAGUAAAGAAUCUUUUGAUGCAAACAUGGCUGGGAUGAUAAUGGGGAAGCGAAAAUUUAAUCACGAGAAAUUGGAUGAUAUUGAAGCAUACCUUUCGGAUGAUGUUAAAACAAAAAGGGCAAAUUUUGACAGCAUAUGUUCGGCAGAUUUUGCAACAACUGAGCCUUCAUGCUUUGUUUUAACAGAUGUUAGUGACCCUUCACAAAUUAUAUCGACGGCUACCAAAUGGCAAGCCGACUGAAAACAAUGAAACUCUUAUGCUGAAAUGUCCGGGGAUUGGGGAAUCCCCGGGCUAUCAAGAGGCUUCACCACAUGUUAAAGCUUUACAAACCCCAAAUGGUCUUCUUAAUGGAGACAAAGCUGGAUCAAAACAGAAUGGAACGUGUUCGAAAGCGCUGUGGGUUUUAUAAUGGGCUGGAUGUUUCAGCUUUUAGUUCAAGGGGAGGUCUAAGCUUGGCUUGGAAUGGGAAUUUUUUAAUUCAAGUUCGUAGUUACUCAACUAAUCAUAUUGACGCUGAGGUUUAUGAAGAUGAUGACUCAAUUAAAUAUAGAUUUACCGGGUUUUAUGGGAACCUACGACAAGCAAAUAGACAAGAAUCUUGGAAUCUCUUUAGAAGAUUACGAAGCACCUAUACUUUGCCGUGGUGUGUAGGAGGUGAUUUUAACGAAAUAAUGUACACUCAUGAGAAAAAAGGGGGAGCAACAAGAGAUUGACGAUAAAUAGAGGAAUUUAGGCAAGCUCUGACAGACUGUGAAUUGGUUGAUAUGGGUUUCAAAGGGAAAAAAGUUGGGAAAGGGAAAUUUUGAGAGCACAAAUGUUAGAGAAAGACUUGAUAGGAGUGUGGCGAAUAGUGAAUGGUUAAACUUGUUUCACGAUUUCUCUGUUACCCAUCUUCCUCACUCUUAUUCUGACCAUUGUCCACUUUUUAUACAAACAGAGCUUAAUGAAUAUCCAGCUGGAAAGAAGAGGUUUAAAUUCGAAUCUUGGUGGAUACUGGAACCGUCUUGUGAAGAUGCCAUCAAGAAAUUGUGGACUAAAAAGUCAGGAGAUGCGCUGGAAAAAUUAGAUUAUCUUCGAGUUAAUCUUCAAAGAUGGGGGAAGACUAUCAAAGGAGAGCGUGAUAAAAGAUCGAAGGCUUUACGGAAAAGAUUGGCUAAAUUAGAAGGUAUGAAUAGGAAUGAUGAUAAUUUAGCUGAGAUGAUAACUGUAAAAUUGGAAUUAAAUUGGGAGAUGGAAAAUGAGGAAUUGUAUUGGGAACAAAGGGCUAGAGCAAAUUGGUUGCGUCAAUGGGAUAAAAAUACGGCUUUUUUCCACAGCAAAACAUCUCAAAGACAUAGGAUAAACAAGAUUUGGGGACUGGAAAACAUGGAAGGAGAUUUAAAAAUAGAGGAUACGAAUAUGGAAAGCAUCAUAAGGGAUUAUUUCAUGGGAUUAUUCCAAUCAAGUGGAGUUGGUGAUACAAACCGUCUUCUUUCGGGGGUUAAAAGGUGUAUUGGAGCGGACAUGAAUCAACUACUAAUAGAGAAAUACAAAGAGGAAGAAGUUGUCGAGGCAAUCAACAGUAUCGGGCCAACAAAAGCCUCCAGACCUGACGGUUUCCCAGUAAUUUUCUUUCAAAAAUAUUGGCACAUAGUGGGGAGGGAAGUCAGCAAUUUCUGCUUGGAAGUACUUAAUAAAGGUAAAUCUUUACAACUGCUGAAUCAUACGAAUAUAGUGUUACUUCCAAAAACGUCUCACCCAAGAAAUCCCACCAAUUUUAGACAUAUUAGUCUAUGCUCGGUGUUCUAUAAAAUCAUAUCAAAAUCUAUCGCAAACAGACUUCAAAAAGUUACGGAUCAUUGUAUCGAUUCUGCUCAAAGUGCGUUCGUUCCGAGAAGACUAAUUUCUGACAACGUACUUCUCGCCUACGAAAUUCUUCACAUUAUGAGAAAUAAAAGGGUGGGGAAAAAAGAUCUUAUGGCACUUAAGAUUGAUAUGAGUAAAGCAUAUGAUAGGGUGGAAUGGAAGUUUUUGGAAAAAAAUGAUGAUCACAAUGGCUUUUGAUGUGCGAUGGGUGGAGUGCAUAAUGCAUUGUAUUAGCACAGUGUCGUAUUCGGUGGUUUUAAAUGGCAUGCCAGGGAUGGUUUUUACUCCAAGAAGAGGCCUAAGGCAAGGGGACCCUUUAAGUCCCUUUCUAUUCCUUUUAUGCAGUGAAGGGCUGUCAACACUUUUAAGGCUUGCAACAGAGGAAGGAGUAUUGAAAGGGAUUAAGGCAAGUAGAAGGGGACCUCAAAUUUCCUAUCUCUUUUUUGCUGAUGACUGUGUUUUAUUUGGAGAAGUGACCGGCAAGGGUAUUGCAACGUUUGAAAAGGUGCUCAAGGAAUACGAAAUUUGUUCUGGAAAAUGUAUUAAUUAUAGUAAGUCAACUGUGUUUUUUAGCUCAAAUACCAUUGAAAAUGUUCGAUCUACCAUAUCGAAUCGUCUAGGACUGAAAAGGGCAAACAAUUCUGAGAAAUACCUAAGCCUACCGAAUAUGGUGGGAAGGAAGGAGCGUUUGGUAUUCCAACAUUUAAAGGAUAGCCUAAAGUUAAAGAUAGACAAUUGGAGUACAAGAUUAUUAUCGCAAGGCGGAAAAGAAGUGUUCAUCAAAGCCGUUUUACAAGCAAUCCCCACGUACACAAUGGCAUGUUUUCUUUUGCCGAAAUCAUUAUGUGAAGAAAUGGAACAAAUCAUCGCAAAAUUUUGGUGGCAAAAAGGUUAUGGGAAACGAGGUAUUCACUGGUGUUUAUGGAGCAAAUUAUGCGAGUUAAAAAAGAGUGGCGGUCUCGGAUUCCGCAAUUUGGCAAAAUUUAAUUUGGCCCUUCUCGCAAAACAAGGCUGGAAAUUAAUUGACGAUUCUAAUUCCCUUUUGGCUAGAACGUUAAAAGUUAAAUAUUAUCCGAAUACUGAUUUUUUAAAUUCAGGUUUAGGUAAUUUACCUUCCUAUACCUGGAAAAGCAUAUGGGCAGCAAAGGGCCUCUUACUAUCGGGAUUGUGCUGGAGGGUGGGGAAUGGCCAUGACAUUCGUAUAGAAGAAGAUGUUUAGGUCCCAAAUGUGCCAGGUCUACUGAUUAACAAAAAGGACAGAAUGCAGAACAUCAUAAUGGUUGCGGAUCUUAUUGACAGUAAUAUCAGAGCAUGGAAAACAGAGUUGAUUUGGAGUACCUUUUCGGAAGUUGAUGUUCCAAAGAUUCUGCAAAUCCCUUUGGCCCAGCGUUCACAAAAUGAUCUUUUGAUAUGGAGGGGUGAAGCAUCGGGUAAAUAUACUGUGCGUAGUGGUUACAAACUACUAUUACAAGGCAAUGAUUACAAUAGUAAUGGUUACAGUUUGCCUGAAAUUACAAAAUGUUACAAGAAACUGUGGAACUGUAAUCUCCCCUCAAAGGUACGUAUUACAGUUUGGAGAGCCACUCUCAACUACCUCCCUACCCUAGUGAAUUUAAGAAUCAAAAGAUUAACGAAUAACGCCAUCUGCCCGAGAUGUAAGCAAGGGCUGGAAACUAGGGAACAUAUUUUUCGCGACUGUGCUGCUGCGAAGGAAAUGUGGAAAAAAUUAAAUUAUGUAUGGUCACUCAAGUUAUCGCAUAUGGACUAUAUGGAGUGGUUUACCUGGGUAUUGUUGCACAGUAAAGAGAAAGAAUGCUACAUCUUUGUCUGUGCCAUUUGGGCUAUCUGGUCGAAUAAGAAUCAAUGGGUACACGGAGGACAUAAGAGAACUAGAACAGAAAUAGCGCAGUUUGUAAUACAGUAUUUACAGGAAUUACAAGAUAUGGAAAGAAAACACCAUGCCAAAUACUCAGUUUUAGAUUCAUGGAAGGCGCCGGAAAGCAGGUUCCUCAAAAUCAAUUUCGAUGCUCCUUUUGAUAAGGGGAAAAAUAUAUCUUGUUCAAGGGUAAUAGUCAAGAACUUUAAAGGUGAUGUAUUGGUUUCAAAAUCGGUCAUCCAUGACAAGAUUUCUUCAAGAUUUGCAGCAGAAGCCUUAGCAUGUUUGCAGGCGGUUAUGGUGGGAAAAGAAUUGGGGAUAAAAUAUGUUAUUUUCGAAGGCGACUCUCUGACAGUUAUAAAAAAAUGAACAAAAAAAAAGAUAAAUCGGUAAUCGGCCCUUAUAUUGAUGAUAUUCAAGAGCAGAAGGCGAAUUUUUAUGGAUGCAAAUUCCAGCAUGCAAAAAGAGCGGCAAAUAGAGCAGCACAUAACCUAGCAUCUGAAGGGUGAAAAUGGGGGUGAAUGCAUACUUUGUUCAUGAGCUUGUUACUCAAGUUCUCACCGAUUCAGAAAUUGAUAGGGGAUGGAGAUGAAGGCCAUCACUGAGUCAACACCAUCUCCAGCAAAUGAGAGAGUAGGAGAAAAAAUUUUAGAUCUCUAUGACUGUUUGUUUCUCCAAGAGUUA